CCUACGGGGGGCUGCAGUGGGGAAUAUUGGACAAUGGGGGCAACCCUGAUCCAGCCAUGCCGCGUGUGUGAAGAAGGCCCUCGGGUUGUAAAGCACUUUCAGUGAGGAAGAACGCCUGGUGGUUAAUACCCAUCAGGAAAGACAUCACUCACAGAAGAAGCACCGGCUAACUCCGUGCCAGCAGCCGCGGUAAUACGGAGGGUGCGAGCGUUAAUCGGAAUUACUGGGCGUAAAGCGCGCGUAGGUGGCUUGAUAAGCCGGUUGUGAAAGCCCCGGGCUCAACCUGGGAACGGCAUCCGGAACUGUCAAGCUAGAGUGCAGGAGAGGAAGGUAGAAUUCCCGGUGUAGCGGUGAAAUGCGUAGAGAUCGGGAGGAAUACCAGUGGCGAAGGCGGCCUUCCGGACUGACACUGACACUGAGGUGCGAAAGCGUGGGUAGCAAACAGGAUUAGAUACCCUUGUAGUC
rnacentral:rRNA from 1 species